rnacentral:lncRNA from 1 species
CAAAAUGGUGGCGCCGAGGCGGAGGCCGGCGCACCUGGGGGCGCCACACGCCCUACGGGAUCCCCGCAGACCGCCGCCAGCUGGACGCGAGCCCCGGGUCCAGGCGGCCCGCACUGGUCUGCGCCAGGCCCAGCCCGCAGGGGCCGCCCACAGCCGGUGGCCCGCGUCGCCGCUCGGUGUCCGCGGGUCUGGUGCUGGCGGGGGCGCGGGGCCCGGCGCGGCCGUCUCGGCCUCACCCAGCGGUCCGCGCCGGGGAGAGGGAGCGCACUCACCUCAGACGCGCCCCGGGAGCCGCUGGAAGAGCCCGGGAAAGGAGGCGGAGCCGCGCGAAUGAAUGGAGCCGGCGGCUGCUCGCUGGCGACCUCCGGCCGGUCCCAGGCCGCACAGCUCGCGGCUGCCAGGGCGAGUGCGGCUGCCUCCCGCUCGCCCCGGACGCCCGGCUCCUCGUCGCGGGUCGGCCGCGGCCCACCGUGCCCUCCGACGACGUGACGCACUAGCGCCGCAGCGCCUCCAGCCUUCGCUUCCGCUCCGCGCCCGCGCCCACCGCGAAUCCCCCCGCCCGCCAGCGCGGAGCGGCCCCUCCUCGGAGCCUGGGACGCCGCCCUGCCUCCCUCCAGCCCCGGCUUUCAGGCGCCGGCCCGGCAGGUGCGGGCUUGGCCAGCCCGGGGGCGUCACGCGGCCCCCGCCUCGCCACCCGCGCCCCCUCUCUCCGCCCCGGCCGCCGUCACCCGGCAGCGCGACGCCCAGCUCAGGGCAAUGGCCUGGUAUUAAAGAGUGACCUUGGCUUAGAUAUAAAAAUAGAUGCGGUUAAGCCGCGGGGGCUGCAACGCUGAUUUUGCGUAUUCCUUUAAUGCCGACCUUCGCAGGAUUCUGUUCGCAUAGCCCGGUGGAGUUCUCCAGCCCCGCGUAGGCCCUCCUGAAAUUUACCCAGAGUGGGCGCGGCCAUCCCGGCCUCGGGACAGGGGUGCAGAGGGCACGGGCGAGGACCGCCGGCCUCCGCCCCACCACUUUCAUCCUAAACCUACUGCCACUUAGGUGCAUGCAAGUUAGAAUCGUGGGCUGCUUUCACAGUCUACAGAAGUCCUAGAGCCCGGACUUUCAUCUGGAGAUGUCAGGGAAAUACCACAUUCCUGCGCUGACCUUUUCUCUUUCACCGUUUAACCGGUACAGAAUAACCCUGACCCAGAAAGACAACAGGGUUCCAUCCGGCUUUCCUCCCGUGCCUCUCCCAGCUCUAUUCUACCGUCUUAUGGCCUCUGGCGCCUUUGCUAAUUACACACUCCUACUGAAAAUUAGCCCUCCAGCAUUUAAAACAUGAUAAAUUGUCUUUAAGGUAAUGCGUAUUGUAGUCUAAAUAUAUUUAAUAACUGUAUUGAGAAACAAAAAAAAAAAAAAAAAAAAAAAAAAA